AACUUUGACAGCUUUUAACUAACCCUUUGAUUUUUCUUCCCAGGUUCAACACGUCCUCUCAUAUACCUCUGCUCGCAUUCUUCCCCUCCCUCCAUUGUUAUUUUCUACUGUGUCUUCAGAAUCCGUAUGCGAGAAGAUCUAAAAUCUUAGUUAUUUAAGUUCUCUAGGAAAAAUCCUCAAACUCUUGCUUGGCACUUCAUGUGUUACCUCUGAAAAAUCUCAUUGUUUCUCCAUUCCGCUCUUCUUCUAACCUGUUCUUUCUUGCUAAAAUUGACAGACAAAUUGUGUGGUUGGCUUCAUUCUUCUCUACAUCUGAAUUGGUUAGUUUCCACUUCUCUUUUCAAGCUUCCAGGGUUCGUGGAUCAAUUUUCUCUUUUAGGUUUCAAGGUAGCUUUACCGUUAGAAAUUUAUCAGUAAUUUACUCUUAUAAACUACCCAAACUUUAUGCUUUUAGAUGUGAAAGAGACAUCAGUUUUACCUUUGAUUUUUUAAAUACUUCGUUGUUGGUAGUUUUCAAACAGAAUUCUGUUUUAUCUCUGAUUUUUAUGGAAGAUUUGAUUUUUUUUUUUCAGAUGGGAAUUUGUUGGGAUUUUAGUUGUAGAAUUUAAAUUUUUAAUUCAUUCUCCUGAUUGCUCAGGAGUUGGACUAAGUAAUUUAUUGGACUAGAUUAUAUCUUUAGUUAGUGUUAUUUUGAUGGUUGACAUUGCAAAAGAAAGUUCUUAUAUGGUUAUCAGUAUGUUAAUUGCUCUUCUCCGUUUUCCUGGAAACCUAUUUGGCAUCAGGGAAGAAGAAAAGUAUUUGAAUCCUUGAACCCAAGAGUAUCUAUUGAUUCUCUAUAUUCAAUUAAAUAUGACAUGGGGAACCUUUGUUAGUUAGCUUAGUAGAGUGUAAGAAGAGGUAAGAGAAUCUAAAUUCCAUUAAUGUUGUAACUCAAUAAUAACAAAUCUCGUAUACUCCCAUAAGUGACUUGUGGCUGGGAGGAUAAUGUGUACGUAAACCUUAAUCCUGUAACUCGAGUGGAAAUCUAAUUCUAACCGUCCUCCAACAACUCAUACCCAUGGAAACGGUUGUUCUUUUUGCCUGUGUUUUGUUGACUAGAAUUUCUCGUACAUUGCUUUUUCCAUAGAACUAAGUUUUUUUUUUAAUUCAAUUUUACCAUUCGAUUUGACCCACUUAAAUUUUUUAGGGGAACCUCAACUAAAGAUUUAUACAACAACAACAAUAACAACCCAAUAUAAUCCACAUAGUGAGGUCUGGGGAUGGUAGUAUGUACGCAGACCUUACCUCUACCCUGGGGUAGAGAGGCUGUUUCCAAAUAGACCCCNNNNNNNNNNNNNNNNNNNNNNNNNNNNNNNNNNNNNNNNNNNNNNNNNNNNNNNNNNNNNNNNNNNNNNNNNNCCGGCAUCCUUCCCUCCAAGAACUUCCCACCUUGCUCUUGGGGAGACUCGAACUCACAACCUCUCGGUUGGAAGUGGGAAUUGCUUACCAUCAGAGCAACUAAAGAUUUAUAAUUUGCAUAUAUAGCAAGCUGAUACAAAGACAAGAGAGCAAGAUAAAUGGGUGAGAAUAGAACCUCCAUUUAGUAGAGUGAAGAAUAAUGGAAUCGGGUUCACAAGCAAUUUUCUGACCAACUUUUUCCAUUUCAACAUAGUAGUACAGAAGCACUUGCUUCUUAUUUACUGUUUUCUUGUCCAUCUAAACACAGUAGUUGUUUGAGAGAGAGUGUGUGUGUUCUGACAAAAGUGCAGGAGAGUGUUGUAGUGUGCCUAUUGUUUAUGGAUUUCUGACUAAGAAUUUUUGUCAUCCAACAAUUUGGUGUUUAGGUUACUGUACAAGAUGCAAAAAGAUCAACAAUUGGGCAAUUCAUAUAUUGGUUUGUUUCUUUUUCUAUUGUAGUUUUCUUUCGAUUGUGUUUUGGGAUUUCGUUAUAUAGUUUGAAUAUGUCAGUUUUAUCACAACAGUUAAAGAUAUUAAAUUAUCAACUGAACUCAAAAGGGCAUAUAAAAAAAUCCUUUCUUUUUGGUAUUAUGUAAGUCUUAUUGAAUUGACGCUGUGGGUGCAUAAUGUUAAUCAUUAUUCUAUCUCAGCUAACGUGAAGAUUCAUCUAGCCAUUGGGCCCGGGCAGAGCCCCGGCAUAACCUCACUAGUUCAUAACUAAGUGGGAAUGUUUUGAUAGUUAUAAAAAAUUGUAGGUAUAAAUCAUAUUUCAUAUUUUCAAGGAGAAGUACAUUCAAACAUCAAUUUCAUCAUAAAUUUCUUUCUUUCUCUCUCUUUGGAAAACGAUGAUAUCAAGACACAACUUAAUCUUUCUUAGGAGUAUCAAACUUCACUCAAAACACCAUAGCAGAUAUUGAUAUGAAAUGAUUAUCUAACUAAAGUUUUGAUUUGAUAUGAAGUUUAUGUUUGGAUAACACUUUUUGCACAACAAAAAAACGAAUUGAUAUUUGGGUAUAGUGUAUUGGUCAAAAUUCAGUAAUACGAUAACUGCAGAUAAGUUGUGCCGUAGAUGGGGUCGGCCACGACAUUAUAACGAAGGGGUUGCCCUAGUAAGGAUCAUUACCGAGGACGCAUAACUGAAGUUGCAAUUGUAAUGGUAGGACUAGCUUAGAAAAGGACACCAACAAUAUUGCCUUGAAUAUUCCUUAUAUUCUACUUUUUAAGGUUCCUUUGGAAGAUCCCUUAUAAAUAAUAAGACAUAGAUAACAAAAAAGGACUUCACUUUUUUAUAAGAG
rnacentral:lncRNA from 1 species